AACGAACGCUGGCGGCAGGCUUAACACCUGCAAGCCGAGCGCCCCGCGAGGGGAGCGGCAGUCGGGGGAGUAACGCGUGGGAAUCUACCCAUCUCUAAGGACUAACGCAUGGAAACGUGUGCUCAUACCGCAUACGUCCCUCGGGAGACAGAUUUAUCGGAGAUGGAUGCGCCCGCGUUGGAUUAGCUAGCUGGUGGGGUAAAGGUCUACCAAGGCGACGGUUCAUACCUGGUCUGAGAGGAUGAUCAGCCACACUGGGACUGCGACACGGCCCAGACUCCUACGGGAGGCAGCAGUGGGGAAUAUUGGACAAUCGGCGCAAGCCUGUACCAGCCAUGCCGCGUGAGUGAUGAGGGCCCUCGGGUUGUAAAGCUCUUUCACCGGUGAAGGUAAUGACGGUAACCGGAGAAGAAGCCCCGACUAACUUCGUGCCAGCCGCCGCCGUAACAC
rnacentral:rRNA from 1 species